UUUCAAAACAGACAAGGGAAAAAGAGAAACAUCAGAAAGUCUGAUUAAAGUAGAAGCAUCAUAUUUCUAUCAACGUAUCCACUGUGCUUGGACUCUGUAAUAUUCACCGGCAGGAAAACCCAAGGGAAUGACUACUAUGACAUCUGAUGGUACAAGAACUAACAAUGAACAGAACAAAGGGGUGUGUGAUCCAGUCCUUGCUCUGUUCACUGAGCUCUGCCCAGCGGCUGGUUGCUUUCACACGAGGAAAACCUUUUUUUCUGCUCUCUUGGCACAAAUUGCUGGAGCUGAAUGUACCAGGGUGGGUGAAGGGGAGGAUGAGGUCAGAGAGGUAACAGGGCCAGGCAAGCCAUUGUCAGGAUUUUGGAUUUUACUGUGUACGGAAUGUGUUUGCCAGAACAAUGCGGGAGUUGCAGAGAGAGGUGUCCUGUGUUUGUUCCCAGUCUUCCUUCACUCACCUGCACCUGCUCCUGCCCUGCUUCGGCCAACAUGUUCUAUGCAGGGUGGUUUUGCUGAUGAGACAGCUGCAGUUUGGGGAGUGUGAUAUCAAGGAAAGCAGUGUCUUGAGUCUGUCACUUUCUCUCUCUGUCCCAUUGGUGAAUUUUUGCCACCUUCAAUGAGAAAGACUGAAACAAAAAACUCAGAAGAAAGAAAGAGACUGAGAUAGCAAAUAUGACAAACUGUUAAAAAUUCAUGAAUCUGUUAUGGAAUACUAUGCAGCCAUAAAAAAGGAUGAGUUCCUGUCCUUUGCAAGGACGUGUAUGAAGCUGGAAACCAUCAUUCUGAGCAAACUAAAACAGGAACAGAAAACCAAACACCACAUGUUCUCACUCAUAAGUGGGAGUUGAACAAUGAGAACACAUGGACACGGCGGGGUGGUGGGAACAUCACACACCGGGGCCUGUCAGAGGGGAGGGGGCUAGGGGAGAGAUAGCAUUAGGAGAAAUACCUAAUGUAGAUGAUGGGUUGAUGGGUGCAGCAAACCACCAUGGCAUGUGUAUACCUAUGUAACAAACCUGCAUGUUCUGCACAUGUAUCCCAGAACUUAAAGUAUAAUAAUAAAAAGAGAGAUUAAAAAAAUUGGUGAAUCUGGGCAAAAUGUACACAGGAUUUUUCUGUACUGUUCUUGCAACUUUUCUACAGAUUUGAAAUGUUACAAAAUAAAAGGUAUUUUUAGAAAAAGAG
rnacentral:lncRNA from 10 species